rnacentral:rRNA from 1 species
AGUCAACAUGCCCAGGGGACGUGGAUAACCUCGGGAAACUGAGGAUAAACCGCGAUAGGUCAUCACUUCUGGAAUGGGUAAUGACUUAAAUCUACAUGGCCCCUGGAUUGGACUGCGGCCGAUCAGGCUGUUGGUGAGGUAAUGGCCCACCAAACCUGUAACCGGUACGGGCUCUGAGAGGAGGAGCCCGGAGAUGGGCACUGAGACAAGGGCCCAGGCCCUAUGGGGCGCAGCAGGCGCGAAACCUCUGCAAUAGGCGAAAGCUUGACAGGGUUACUCUGAGUGAUUUCCGUUAAGGAGAUCUUUUGGCACCUCUAAAAAUGGUGCAGAAUAAGGGGUGGGCAAGUCUGGUGUCAGCCGCCGCGGUAAUACCAGCACCCCGAGUGGUCGGGACGUUUAUUGGGCCUAAAGCAUCCGUAGCCGGUUCUACAAGUCUUCCGUUAAAUCCACCUGCUUAACAGAUGGGCUGCGGAAGAUACUAUAGAGCUAGGAGGCGGGAGAGGCAAGCGGUACUCGAUGGGUAGGGGUAAAAUCCGUUGAUCCAUUGAAGACCACCAGUGGCGAAGGCGGCUUGCCAGAACGCGCUCGACGGUGAGGGAUGAAAGCUGGGGGAGCAAACCGGAUUAGAUACCCGGGUAGUCCCAGCUGUAAACGAUGCAGACUCGGUGAUGAGUUGGCUUAUUGCUAACUCAGUGCCGCAGGGAAGCCGUUAAGUUUGCCGCCUGGGGAGUACGGUCGCAAGACUGAAACUUAG